GUGCUCGCUUCGGCAGCACAUAAACUAAAUUGGAACGAUACAGAGAUUAGCAUGGCCCUUACACAAGGAUGACUUGCAAAUUCGUGAAGUGUUAUAUAUAUAU